GUGUCAUCUACAUGGUCCGAGAAAAUUGAGAAAAGGAUAUGCCAGCUAUUAUUUAUUGGUCCUGAUCUCAGGGUGAGAUCUUGCUCUUCCAGCCCUACCAAACAUCUUGAGACUGGACUUCUAUUUCAACUCCCUCUCUGCUGGAAAUAUCCUGAAUGCUUCCCGUGCUUCUUACUGGAAUCUGACGGAUACAGAAGAAACAAUACAUCAGGCCCCUCUCCCUGGAAGACAAGCUGGAAGAACAAGAGGACAACAACCCAAGGGUCGUCAUAAAACUGUACAACCCCAACACCAGGGGAAAAUAGUAUAUUAAGUUCCUGGUAUUGCCUCAUGGCCUGUUUAUUUCUUAGAUUUGACUUUUCUUUUCUUUUUAUAAAAUUCUUUCUCAACAUUUUUUUUUUCUUUUUACACACUUACCAUUUCAACGAGAUUCUUAGUACAACAUAUUCCAUAGUAACUUUUUAACUUGAAAAUUUUC
rnacentral:lncRNA from 1 species